GAUGAACGCUGGCGGCGGGCCUAAUACAUGCAAGUCGAGCGAACAGACGAGGAGCUUGCUCCUCUGACGUUAGCGGCGGACGGGUGAGUAACACGUGGAUAACCGACCUAUAAGACUGGGAUAACUUCGUGAAACCGGAGCUAAUACCGGAUAAUAUAUUGAACCGCAUGGUUCACUAGUGAAGGACAGUUUUGCUGUCACUUAUAGAUGGAUCCGCGCCGCAUUAGCUAGUUGGUAAGGUAACGGCGUACCAAGGCAACGAUGCGUAGCCGACCUGAGAGGGUGAUCGGCCACACUGGACCUGAGCCACGGUCCAGACUCCUACGGGAGGCAGCAGUAGGGAAUCUUCCGUAAUGGGCGAAAGCUUGACGGAGCACCGCCGCGUGAGUGACGAAGGUAUUCGGAUCGUAAAACUCUGUUAUUAGGGAAGAACAAAUGUGUAAGUAACUAUGCACGUCUUGACGGUACCUAAUCAGAAAGCCACGGCUAACUACGUG
rnacentral:rRNA from 1 species